rnacentral:rRNA from 1 species
CAAUAGCGUAUAUUAAAGUUGUUGCAGUUAAAAGCUCGUAGUUGGAUUUCUGGCAGGAGCGACCGGUCACACACUCUGUGCGUGAACUUGUGUUGUCUCUGGCCAUCCUUGGGGAGAUCCUGUUUGGCAUUAAGUUGUCGGGCAGGGGAUACCCAUCGUUUACUGUGAAAAAUUAAGAGUGUUUAAAGUCAGGCAUUAUGCCGCUGAAUAUAUUAGCAUGGAAUAAUAAGAUAGGACUUCGGAACUAUUUUGUUGGUUUGCGUUACGAAGUAAUGAUUAAUAGGGACAGUUGGGGGUGAUUCUUAUUGCAUUAUGUCAGAGGGUGAAAUUCUUGGAUUUCCGAA